rnacentral:rRNA from 1 species
UGGGGAAUAUUGCACAAUGGGCGAAAGCCUGAUGCAGCGACGCCGCGUGAGGGAUGACGGCCUUCGGGUUGUAAACCUCUUUCAGCAGGGAAGAAGCGAAAGUGACGGUACCUGCAGAAGAAGCGCCGGCUAACUACGUGCCAGCAGCCGCGGUAAUACGUAGGGCGCAAGCGUUGUCCGGAAUUAUUGGGCGUAAAGAGCUCGUAGGCGGUUUGUCGCGUCUGCUGUGAAAACGCGAGGCUCAACCUCGCGCCUGCAGUGGGUACGGGCAGACUAGAGUGCGGUAGGGGAGUCUGGAAUUCCGGGUGUAGCGGUGGAGUGCGCAGAUAUCAGGAGGAACACCGGUGGCGAAGGCGGGUCUCUGGGCCGUAACUGACGCUGAGGGGCGAAAGCAUGGGGGGCGAACA